rnacentral:rRNA from 1 species
UACAGAGGGUGCGAGCGUUGUCCGGAAUCACUGGGCGUAAAGGGCGCGUAGGUGGUGAGUUAAGUGUGCGGUGAAAGCCCGAGGCUCAACCUCGGGUCGGCCGUGCGAACUGGGUCACUGGAGCAGAAUAGAGGCAGGUGGAAUUCCGGGUGUAGCGGUGGAAUGCGUAGAGAUCCGGAAGAACACCGGUGGCGAAGGCGGCCUGCUGGGUUCUGGCUGACGCUGAGGCGCGACAGCGUGGGGAGCAAACAGG